UACGUAGGGGGGCUAGCGUUGUCCGGAUUUAUUGGGCGUAAAGAGCGUGUAGGCGGCCAGAUAGGUCCGUUGUGAAAACUGGAGGCUUAACCUCCAGCUGUCGAUGGAAACCAUCUGGCUAGAGUCCGGAAGAGGAGAGUGGAAUUCCUGGUGUAGCGGUGAAAUGCGCAGAUAUCAGGAAGAACACCCGUGGCGAAGGCGGCUCUCUGGGACGGUACUGACGCUGAGACGCGAAAGCGUGGGGAGCGAACAGG
rnacentral:rRNA from 1 species